rnacentral:rRNA from 1 species
GACGAACGCUGGCGGCGUGCUUAACACAUGCAAGUCGAACGGCAGCACGGGUGCUUGCACCUGGUGGCGAGUGGCGAACGGGUGAGUAAUACAUCGGAACGUACCUUAUCGUGGGGGAUAACGCAGCGAAAGUUGCGCUAAUACCGCAUACGCCCUGAGGGGGAAAGCGGGGGACCGUAAGGCCUCGCGCGAUUAGAGCGGCCGAUGUCUGAUUAGCUUGUUGGUGAGGUAAAAGCUCACCAAGGCGAUGAUCAGUAGCUGGUCUGAGAGGACGAUCAGCCACACUGGGACUGAGACACGGCCCAGACUCCUACGGGAGGCAGCAGUGGGGAAUUUUGGACAAUGGGGGCAACCCUGAUCCAGCAAUGCCGCGUGAGUGAAGAAGGCCUUCGGGUUGUAAAGCUCUUUUGUCAGGGAAGAAACAGCAGCUCUAACACAGUCUGCGAAUGACGGUACCUGAAGAAUAAGCACCGGCUAACUACGUGCCAGCAGCCGCCGUAA